CAGCAACUAAAAAAUCGAGUAUAUUAAUAUAUAAAUGAUGUUGCUUUCAUAAAAUAUUACCAAAAAUGAUCAACAUCAGUUAGUUGCACCGUACAUCAAUGAUGUAAGCUAGUCACAAUAUUGUGUUCAUAAAUAUUUAGCAAAAAACUACAUAUCACUAAUAUCCCUUGAUUGUAAUGUAAAUUUUUUUUGAAAUUCCCAGCAAAAUGAUAGUUAAUCUGUAUGUCUUCAAAAAUUUGCUUCUAGUAAACUUCAAUAUCCAAAAUCUGUAGAAGAAAUAAGAAAUUUCAGUUAGAAAAACUAUAUAUAACAGUGUAGACGGAGCAAAAUCAGGGGUAGACAGAAGAUUAUAAAAAUAACAAAGAAAAAAAAGUAACGAAAAAUUAAUGGCUAGACACCAUUGUUCCCUUUCAUCUGAUUAACUUAGAUUAGUUUGUCAAGAAAAGGUGGAAUGAAGGAAUCAUCAUAAAUAAUAAAGAUUUCAGGAAGAACAAUAGCAGAUCUAAGUACUCGAGUGGUUGCAGAAUUUCCACAUAUAUUGGUUCUAAAUCAUGAGCAAUUUCCUUAACAAACCACUGUCCACCAACACAUCCAAAAACGUAAGCUCAACUUCUAUUGCUCUUUCCUUAAUACCUAUUUUUGGUGAAAUUUUAGUUUUGGGGUGUUUGACAUUCUCUUAUGUCCGAUGAUUUUACGAGCAACCAAACAUCCCCUUUUUUGUACAAAUUUCUCCUCCUUGACCUAUGAGCCCCAAUUUUAAACCCAAUAAUCUUACUUUUAUCACUCACACAAGUAUUCAAAACAACCAAUUGCAGAAAAUAACUAAAGAAACAAAAUAUUGUAGAACCCUGUUUUUAUUUUCUGAUUCAAUCGGGAAAAAAAAGCAUGAAGAAGAAAAAAGAAACAUAACAGAUUAAAGAGAAAGAAAUUAAGCUUACUCUUGAUUAGGCGGAUAAUCUAAUGGUAUAAUUUGUGUGAAGUCGCUUGGAGAGAGAUGAAUUUUCGACACCAACCUUCUGAGUUUUUUGCAACCUUAUGAAUUUUGAUGAAGUUUAGCAGCGCCUCUUAGGGAUUUUGAUGGCCUUCUUUCUAGUUUCGCCUCUUAGGGAUGAAGUUUAGAGAUUUUGUAAAAAUAUUUUGGAAAGAUUUUAGGGUGAAAGUGAAUUUGGAGGGAUUACCGUGAAAUUUUUGGAGCAUUCCCUUUUUUUUUUUUUUUUUACUUUUAGUUUUCAUCAGUUUCGCACCCCAAAAACACAUCAAAAAACGUAAGCUCAACUUCUAUUACUCUUUCCCUAAUACCUAUUUUUGGUAAAAUUUUAGUUUUGGGGUGUUUGACAUUCUCUGAUGUCCGAUGAUUUUACGAGCAAUCAAACAUCCCCUCUUUUGUACAAAUUUCUCCUCCUUGACCUAUGAGCCCCAAUUUUAAACCCAAUAAUCUUACUUUUAUCACUCAUACCAGUAUUCAAAACAACCAAUUGCAGAAAACAACUAAAGAAACAAAAAAUUGUAGAACCUUAUUUUCAAUUUCUGAUUCAAUCAGCUUAAAAAAGCGCAAAGAAGAAAAAAAAGAAACAUAACGGAUUAAAGAGAAAGAAAUUGAGCUUACUCUUGAUUAGGCGGAUAAUCUAAUGGUAUAAUUUGUGUGAAGUCGCUUGGAGAGAGAUGAAUUUUCGACACCAACCUUCUAAGUUCUUUGCAACCUUAUGAAUUUUGAUGAAGUUUAGCAUCACCUCUUAGGGAUUAUGAUGGCCUACUUUUUAGUUUCGCCUCUUAGGGAUGAAGUUUAGGGAUUUUGUGAAAGUAUUUUGGAGGGAUUUUAGGGUGAAAGUGAAUUUGGAGGGAUAUGAAAUAUUUGAAGCAUUCCCCCUUUUUUUUUACUUUAGUUUUCAUCAGUUU
rnacentral:lncRNA from 1 species